AGAAGCAUCUAUUUUUUACUCUCUCUUUCUCUCACCCAUCUGUCUUUACCAUCUGUUUGGUCGCCGGGAAAAUGCAGUCAUACGAAAUGAAAAUGGAAUUGUUUAAACGGGUAGUAAUUGCUUUCAGGAAUCUGAAGAACUGUAUGACUUAAUAGCCAAGAUGAUCGUCUGUGCUGAUUAGUUAUGAUGAUUCAAUUUGUAGAAAAAUAUUUGAAGUUUUUGAAAGUUGAACAGAAGCUUAAUGUCCGCUUAAUUUCUCAAAAGUUAGCUUAAACUCGGAGUUCAAUCAGGUCGAAAGUUUGUUUCUAUUAGUAAAAUUAUCCUUUCAUUUCAUUACUACAAUAAGAUUACACAAUGAUGUCUUAUAUACUAGUUACUCACUAGUAUUAGAUAACUAACUAAUUACACCUUCAUCAACUAAUCACUCACUAAUUAUAAAACUACCAUAACAACCUUAACUAUUUACAGUUUUACCCUUAUUAUCCCCCCUAAAACCUAACUGAGGUAGCCGAAGGGAGAGUUUGUCUCGGAGAAGAUGGAAUUUGUGCUUGGACAGAGCCUUGGUGCAGAUAUCAGCAACCUAAUCUUGAGUACACACAAACAGAACGUGAACUUGAUUAGCAAGCAUUUUUUUCCGAAUGUAGUGAUAAUCAAUCUCUACAUGCUUGGUUAUAGCAUGGAAGAUUGGAUUUCUAGCCAAUGAAAUGGCAGAAAUGUUGUCACACCAAAUCUGAGGGGGAAAAGGAAGAUCAAGACCAACAUCAACUAAUAGCUUGCAUAUCCAUGUCAGUUUAGCGGCAGCAGCAAUGUCAGCCAAUGAUCGAUAUUCAGCUUCGGUCGAUGACCGAGCCACAAUAGGUUGUUUCUUGGGACUCCAGCUUAUAAGUGAGUCACCCAAAUAGACACAAAACCCCCCCAGUAGAUCGGCGAUCAAGACUGCAACCGGCCCAAUCGGCAUCAGAGAAAGCAGUGAGAGUAAGAGGUUUAGCACAUUUUGGAAACCAUAAGCCAAGAGACAAAGUACCCUUUAGAUAUCGGAGAAUAUGUUUGACUGCCUGAAAGUGAGCUUGUCUCAGACUGUGCAUAAAUUGACAAACCAAAUUAACUGCACAAGACAGAUCUGGCCGUGUCCAUGUUAAGUAUUGCAAACCACCAACCAAAGAUCUAUAUUCCUCAGGUUUGUCAAGCAGAGAAGAGUUAUGAUCCAAUUUAGUUGUACUAAGAGGAGUGACACAAGGUUUGGAACCUUCCAUAUGUGCUUUGGAGAGAAGAUCGAGAAUAUACUUGUGUUGAGAGAGAAGGAUACCAGAGGAUGACCGCUUGACUUCAAUACCAAGGAAGUAAUGAAGAUGACCAAGAUCUUUGACAGGAAAUAAAGAACUGAGCUGAGAAAUAAUGUCUUUACAGAGUUGAGCAUUCGGUCCAGUAACAAUAAUAUCAUCAACAUAGACCAAAAUGAAAAUCAACGCAUGAGCCUUCUUGACAAAUAAAGAAUGAUCAUUUGACGAACCUGAGCAACCCAGAGACUUCAAUGUAGUGGUGAGCUUGUCAUACCAAGCCCUGGGGCUUGCUUGAGCUCAUACAAAGAUUUAUGGAGAUGACAAACAUGAUUUAGCUUGGUAGGGUCUUCAAAUCCUAGUGGUUGGAUCAUGAACACAGAUUUUGUCAAGGUACCAUGCAGAAAAGCAUUGCUAACAUCAAGUUGAUUGAGAAACUAAUCAAACUUGGCAGCCAAAGUGAGAAGUAACCUAAUAGUAACAGGCUUGGCAACUGGACUAAAUGUCUCAGUAUAAUCAAUGCCGUGCUGCUAAUGGAAGCCUUUGCCAACAAGCCGAGCUUUGUACCUAUCAAUGGUACCAUCGGGUUUUCUUUUGAUUCUAAACACCCAUUUUGCACCAACUAAGUUAUGAGUGGGAUUAGCAGGAACUAGAGACCAAGUGCUAGUUUGAAUGAGAGCAUUGAACUCUUUCUGCAUUGCUUGACGCCAAUGAUGAUGUUUGGAGGCUUGAAGAUAGAUAGAUGGGGUAUAAUCGGGAGAGAGAUCAGAAGAGAUGGGAUACUUGGUUGCCAAGAGUGCUUUAGGUUUAAAAAUACCCGAUUUGGAUCUGGUUUGCAUGGUAUGAGUAUUGAGAGGUAUUGAGGGUGCAGAAAGUUGAUAAGGGAGAGAGGGAAGAUGAGGGUUAGGUAUGGCAAUAGAAGAUGGGACAUGAAGAGAUUGGGAUGGAGAGGGUAAAUAUGGAGUUGGAGAUAAGAUAGGAGAUGAAGAGGGAGAAGGCUGAGAUAGAAGAGGAAAAGUCAAUGUGGUUAGAAUAGGAUUGGAUGGCUGUAAAUGAGAAGAACUAGAGCUUGAAUGUGAUGGCUGAGGAUGAUCCUUUUGAGCAAAAGGAAAUGUAUCUUCAUCAAAAAUAACAUGCCUCAAAAGAUACACUCUGCCAUUGGAAGGAUCAAGACAUUUAUAGCCUUUAUGGUUCAAACUGUACCCCAAAAAUACACAUUCCUUGCUUUUGGGAUCAAGCUUGGAAGUUGUAUAAGGUUUCAACCAUGGGAAACAUCGACAUCCAAAAAUUUUCAGUGAGAUGUAAUCUGGAGAUCUGUGAAAUAGUAGUUCCCAAGGUGAGAAGUUGGUGGUUGUUGGCAUCCGAUUAAUGAGAUAGAUAGUUGUGGCAAAAGCUUCAACCCAAUAGGAAUGAGGAACCUUGGAUGCUGCUAAGAGAGUUCGAGCAGUUUCAACUAAAUGUCUGUGCUUGUGCUCAGCACAACCAUUUUGCUCAAGUGUGUGAGGGCAGCUUAACUGAUGGGAAAUGCCAUGUUCUUGAAGAAACUUGAUAAACUUGAGACUAAGAAAUUCCCCACUAGAAUCAGAUCGUAAGAUAACAAUCUUAGUACUGAGUAAAGUUUCCACCAACACUUUGAAUUGCACAAAUGUAUCAAAGACAUCAGAUUUAAACUUGAGAGGAAAAAACCAAGUAUACUUGGUGUAGUCAUCAACAAAAAUGAGAUAAUAUCAAUAUCCAUUAACAGAAAUGAGUGGUACAGGACCCCAUACAUCAGUGUGCAGAAGCUCCAGAUGCCUAAUGGAUGUACAAGAAAUAGAAGCAAAAGACAAUUUGGAACUCUUGCCUAGAGCACAACUGGAACACACAGAUUUAUUUAAAGCACUGGAAACUGAAAGACAAGACUGAGAUGCUAGUUUAUUAGGUAUUUUGAGUGCAGGGUGACCCAAUCUGUGAUGCCAAGUCUGCUGUGAAGCUUUAGCAGAAGCUGCAAAUGCCUUUUGAUUACCAACAAUAGAGGAUGCAUGAAAUGGAUAGAAACCAGCUCUCACAGGACCUUUAAAAAGCGUUUUAUCCGAAGAAAGAUUCUUCACAAUGAAGUGAAAAUGAUACAAAUGAAUAGAACACCAAUUAUCAAGAAUAAACUGAUUUACGGAAAUCAAAUCUUGCUUAAGAUGAGGAACAUGCAAGACAUUUUUAAGAUCAAAACAAUGAGAACCAUUAUUAAGUGUAGAAGAACCAAAAUUGAGUAUAGGCAAACCUUUGCCACCACUUGCUCAAGUCCAGUGUAUGGCUCAAGAUUCUGCAAAUUUGUGGAGGAAUGAGUCAUGUGCGAGCUAGCACCAGAAUCAAGAAGCCAAGGAUGAGGGGUAGAGGCAUGAUAAGCAGCUGGAGAAUUCUUGUUACCAAAAUUGGGAUUCAUGCGCUGAGGACACUCAACAGCUUCAUGAUCGAAUAGGCGACAAAUUUGACAAGAGAUCUUUCUGUGAGAAUUGUUGUACUGAGAACGAGGACCACGAUUGUAACGAUGAUUACCCUGAUUACCGCGAUUAAAUCUUUGAUUGCCCUGAAAACCUUGAUAAUUCCGCUGGGAACCACGAUUGGUGUAAUUACGAGAUUGAGAGAAAUUGCCACGAUUCGGAAGACCAUAGGAUUGUGAAGAAGAUCCGUUCUGAGUAAAGAAUGCUUGAGCACCAAAAUCACCAAGAGGUGUAGGAAGAAGACCAGCAGAAGCAUUAAAAGCUUAAAUGGGAGCAGAUGGUGAGGUUUUCUUGCGAGCAGUCAGUUGAAGCUCCUUACUCAAAAGCAGCCUAUAAAGUUCAUUAAUAGUGGUUGAACCCAUGCGAAAUUGGAUUGCAUCAAUGAAAGACUCAUACUCAGAGGGCAAACCAUGUAAAAUUACAGAAAUCAACUCAAAAUCUUCGAUUGGGGCGCCUGCAUUUGCAAGAGCAUCUGCGAUUUCUUCAAUUUGUUGAAGAUAGAGCACAGCCGUAGAAUCACCCUUCGUGAUGCUACGAAGACAAGAACGAAGCUCAUGAAUGUGCGAUUGCGAUGUAGUUGCAAGUCGCGAUUCCAAUUUUGACCAGAGCUCACGAGCCGAAUUAACUCCAACAGUGUACGGAAUUAGGGCAUCUGAUAGGGUAGAAUUAAUCCAAAUCAAGAUAUUCUGAUCAUUUUCAAACCAAGUAACAUACUGAGGAUUGAGAGUAGAGGUUUGAUUACCCGAGGAGUCAAGAAGGUAUUUCGGCGGAGCAGACAUCGUGCCGUCAAUGAUUCCGGUGAGAUUGUACCGACGAAGGAUGGGAGCGAACAGAGCACUCCAGGUGAGAUAGUUCGUCGAUGGAGCUUGAUUGGCACCAUAGAUCCAAUAUUUUGGAUCGUAAUCGACGAUGUCGUCGAGGAGAGAGAAGAAUUAGGGCAAGAAGCAGAGCCAGAAGAAGGAGAUCCAGCCAUGGCGAUUGCUAGGUUUGGAAGAAUCGAAGAUAAGGAAGCGGGAGAUUUCUAGGGUUUGAAGAUUCGAAGAGGAAGAAGCGGGAAGCAGAGGAAGAGGAUCAACUGUCGUAGGACUUAGGCGAGUGAUACCAUAUUAGGAAAAUUAUCCUUUCAUUUCAUUACUUCAAUAAGAUUACACAAUGAUGUCUUAUAUACUAGCUACUCACCAGUAUUAGAUAACUAACUAAUCACACCUUCAUCAACUAAUCACUCACUAAUUACAAAACUACCAUAACAACCUUAACUGUUUACAGUUUUACCCUUAUUAGUUUCGGCUCUGAAUGCGCGAAAGUUUUCUGAAAUUUUGUGUUCACAAUAGUUUUUCUGAAUUGCAGAGUUGUCUAUGCAAUUGCAUUCUUGAUGCCAAACACAGUAGUACUUCCCCGUUUUGAGGAAAUUGUUGUAUGAUUAAAGUUUUGGUGUAUGUGCAGGAAGGGAUAAGGUUUUUGAAUACAUGGUUAGAAGGAGAAAGAUUGAUUGGUUUCUGUAAAUAUCUCGGAAAGAACACUCCAGAGCUUAAACCAGAUGAAAUUCCUCACUGUAUGAUGAUGAUUUUAUUCAAGAUUAAUUGCAAAGUUUGUAGUAAAACACAUAUAAUCGUUACAAUAGUUGAGUGAACUGCUUGUAUUGUUAUUGCAGCCUAGACCUGGCCAUUCUUUAUUAAUCUGCUGAUUCAGUGUGCUUCGUUGGAGAUAUCCUCCUCAAGCAAGCGGCGAUUGCCCAAGUUGAUAUAUGCAAAGACUCUACGGAUAGUUGUGCAACAAGCAGAGGAUGAUAAGUUUUCAGGUAUUAAAAACCGUCAGCAGAUUAAGCUUUGAAGUAGUGCAAGUAGUUACCUGGUUAAACAGUCUACAUCUAAUUAUGCUUAUGCUUGUUUUCAUCAAUCCUUCAUUUUGUUGUUUGAUUCGUAAGUACCACGCACACAUUAGUAAGGAUCUUUUAAUUUUAUGGUUCGAGGGCACAUGUGAAAGCUUUUAAAGGUACUGCAUGCCAUUUUAUAGUUGUAAUCGUCCCAUUAGCUUUAAUCAAACUAUUGUCUAUUCUGAUGUCUCUCUCUCUCUAUAUGCUUCUUUUAAUAUAAUUGCUCUUAAGGAACAAGUGCUAAUAAUUUGACAUGAGUACUAGGAUAUUACUCUGAGUUUUAUUCAAUCUAAACCUUGAAUGCUUCUCUUUAAUUGUUGUCAUACUAUCUUGGAGUCGUAUACUUGGUGUUGUUCUGAGUCUUGUAUAGAUCAUGUGCCAUAUUUUGUUGCGCGAUAUGUAUAUGUGUGUAUAUAUACACAUUAUUUGGGAGAAAAAAAAAAGAAGUGACAAAACCCUUGAAAUAUGUGGUUGUGUUGGAUGAACGCCCCAUCUUGUUUUCCUAAAAAACAGAUACAGGAAAUGUAAGAUGGGUAUCUAUGCAUGCUUCUGUAGGGAAUUUCUUCUGGACAGUUAGUUGACUCAGAUGUAAAAUAUUGCAAAUCUGGUCCAUAUUUAUGGGGUACUUUUUAGCACACUAUAUAAAUUGGUGAUGCUUUUAGUUUGUGCUCAUUGUUGUGCUGAUGGAAUGGAAUAUAUUGCAGAAUUUUGAAUGAUGCAAACAUGGUACAUUCUUAUGAUGGUCUGCUAUGGACACUGAGGUAUGCUGCACUAAUUAACCUUAAACACACUUUUUAUGUAAAUCUUGUUAAGUGUGUAGCCAGGUUGUGUAUAACCAUGUGACAUUGGUGUUCCGUUUGGCUUUGCCAUAAAUGGUGCUCCACUAAGUUUAAUAUACUUUAUCUGCACAAACAUCUACUAGUUAUUAAGAUAUGGAUGACACCAAUAGAUUCUCCCUCUACCUCUCUAAUCCCCUGCUUCUUAUGAGCUUAUAUUUAUAUAUUUACAUGCAUCUAAAGGAGCUUGCAGGAACUUUCUUCUGUGCUGUUGCUUCCAGAUCCAAAGCUGAAGAAACUGUCAGACUCGUCUCCCUCGAAUGAGGUGCUUGUUUUUUCUUUGUUUCUUUUGUUGUAAUUCUUUUGACGACAAUGUUUCUUUUUU
rnacentral:lncRNA from 1 species